rnacentral:rRNA from 1 species
AUUGAACGCUGGCGGCAUGCUUUACACAUGCAAGUCGAACGGUAACAGGCCGCAAGGUGCUGACGAGUGGCGAACGGGUGAGUAAUGCAUCGGAACGUGCCCAGUCGUGGGGGAUAACUACUCGAAAGAGUAGCUAAUACCGCAUACGAUCUAUGGAUGAAAGCGGGGGACCGUAAGGCCUCGCGCGAUUGGAGCGGCCGAUGUCAGAUUAGGUAGUUGGUGGGGUAAAGGCUCACCAAGCCAACGAUCUGUAGCUGGUCUGAGAGGACGACCAGCCACACUGGGACUGAGACACGGCCCAGACUCCUACGGGAGGCUGCAGUGGGGAAUUUUGGACAAUGGGCGCAAGCCUGAUCCAGCAAUGCCGCGUGCAGGAAGAAGGCCUUCGGGUUGUAAACUGCUUUUGUACGGAACGAAACGGCUCUGGUUAAUACCCGGGGCUAAUGACGGUACCGUAAGAAUAAGCACCGGCUAACUACGUG